AUGGAAAAUGCCCGAGUGUUUACCUCACAAGCGCAAGGACGGCCAGGGACGAAGGGCCUCUCCGGUAGCUCCUUGUGGCGGCGUAUCCCGAGCGAGAUAUCCUCAUGGGCUACGAGGAGCAAACGCCGGCCGGAGCCUCCGAAAUGAAGCUGCUGCUAGGACUAAGCCAAUUUUGAGCCUGCUGCUGCCCCUUGCUCAUUUGCAUGCCUGGUGUGGGAAUCCUCCAGGGAGCGUCUGAAAGUGGGAGAUAUCGCCCAAGGCCGAGCGUGUGAUUUUGAGCAAUGGGCAACCCAUGCUGGCGUCCGGUCGAAAGGAUGGAAAAGCCCACCAGUGCCAAAAGCAGAUCUCUACGAAUCCGCAUUUUAUGGGGAAAUAUUCCCAGGAACUGCAAAUAUUGUCAAUGUUGCCCCAUAAUGAUGAUGAAACGUUCUACAUGACUCACUCGCUCACAUUCUACUUGUCUGUGCUAUUUCCUGUCAAAUAAUUUGCCACCAGAUCACGUAGAAUCAAUUAGUGAGAACAACUUUCAUCUCUAAAUAUAUUUGACAUGGAGAUUAGCAAAUUCUGUAGAAGAUGUUGUCAUGGAAACCUCUGGACAAAAUUCAAAUGGAUUAAAAUGUUCCUGAUUUCAGAAGCAGCAAACCGCCUGGAGGCCAAAGCUAACGUUUCUUGUCUGAGAUUAGCACGCGAGCGCUAGUUGAUUAGCAUCAAAAACUCGUGUUAAGCGUAAAGCGUGGGAGAUCCAUUUUUCAUUUGAUUAAGUCAAAGAUAGCCAACUGAACCGCAACCACUUUAUUAUCUCCAGUCUACAAAAUGGCCACCCUAAAAAUAAAGAUGAAUCAUAAAAAAAAAAUGCAAGAAAAAGAUUAGCCCAAAAUAAAGUUGUGUUUACUGGAAAAAGAAAAAUCACAAUAUGUCAAAAUUUGAGAAUAGAUUUGUUAUUUUGACAAAUCCAUAUCUUCAUAUCAUUUUAUUUAGUUAAACAUUUCAUACCUAGCCUAUUUACAAAAAGCACUAACAGAAAAUAACAUCUUUGGCUGUGAUCCAUUUAUAUAUUUACAACAACAGAACAUCAAAAAACAAAACUGCAUUCACAUUGAGAUCAGUGCCACAAGCACAAACUGCAACUAGGAAUCCAAAAUAUUUUUCCCACAUGAACUGUGUGUGUUUUGAUGCAUUUCUUUGACCCUAUAGAAUGAGGUGCUGCUGUCCGUUGAAGAUUAUCAGGAUGAAAUUCAGCGUUUCCCAGAGCGUGACCUCAGAUGAGCACAGCCACAGAAAAAAAAAAAAAAUGGGGAAAUGUAAUAUGACUUCAGGGUGUGCUGUGCUUGCUUUUCCACGCCGUCAACCUGCGGCCAAACAAUCAAAGGGAGAGGCAACAUGUGAUGGUGUCAAAAGACCAGGAAAUGGAACUUAUCAACAUAGGGAAGUCUCACUUCCCAUUAAAAAAAAAACAUUUGUCCAUAUUUUCAUCACAACUAAAACAUUUUGCAUGAAUUGUGUAUUUUGGCUGCCAUCUGUUGCCUGAUUUUGUCAUUGCAGCAUCCCGAUUGCAGGAACUGCCAAACCGCUCGAGUGACAUUCUAAUAAUCUUCUGUCAUCCUCGCAAGUGACCUUUGACCUCUCCAUGACAGUCUUGUUUUGCAAUUCUUUUUUCCGUCGUGUGUAAACUACUGAGCGCACAUCUUCGUCGAACGUGCCCUCGGAUUUCGUGGAAAGUAAAUACGGGAAAGGCCUCGUGGAGCCUCAGCGAGGUUGAGUAAGUGGACCUCGGCCUUCUCAGCUGAGGACCAAGGAGGUCAUCCACGUUGCGCCACACGGGACUGUGUCGUAAGAGUGUGUGGGUGUGUUUGUGUGUGUCGUAACGCAUCGGUCACACAAUGGAAACAGCUGUCAUAUCAUUAAAACUAACUUUCAUACAUAA